AUUGAACGCUGGCGGUAGGCCUAACACAUGCAAGUCGAACGGCAGCACAGUAAGAGCUUGCUCUUACGGGUGGCGAGUGGCGGACGGGUGAGGAAUACAUCGGAAUCUACUUUUUCGUGGGGGGUAACGUAGGGAAACUUACGCUAAUACCGCAUACGACCUACGGGUGAAAGCAGGGGAUCUUCGGACCUUGCGCGAUUGAAUGAGCCGAUGUCGGAUUAGCUAGUUGGCGGGGUAAAGGCCCACCAAGGCGACGAUCCGUAGCUGGUCUGAGAGGAUGAUCAGCCACACUGGAACUGAGACACGGUCCAGACUCCUACGGGAGGCAGCAGUGGGGAAUAUUGGACAAAGGGCGCAAGCCUGAUCCAGCCAUACCGCGUGGGUGAAGAAGGCCUUCGGGUUGUAAAGCCCUUUUGUUGGGAAAGAAAAGCAGCAGGUUAAUACCCCGCUGUUAUGACGGUACCCAAAGAAUAAGCACCGGCUAACUUCGUG
rnacentral:rRNA from 1 species